ensembl:lncRNA
AUUAUUGAAGGUCCUCUAUGCCCCGCCUCUAUCAAACGUAUAGAUAGAUAGAUAGAUAGAUAGAUAGAUAGAUAGAUAGAUAGAUAGAUAGAUCUCUCAGUCUGUGCAAAUGAACAGGCCUCUGAAAGAGCUACAAUUAAAUAUUUAUCACCAAUAGCUAUAUUUAUCAUAAAUAUUCAUAAGAUACAGCUGUUAUUUUUCAGCAUGUGGAACAUAACAUUCAGCGAUUACGCUGCGGUGGAGAUGUAGGUGGGUAUGAGAUCUUUAGCUUGAAUGCGUUCUUCAUCUCCUUUAGUGUGGAUGAGAGAUGCUGCUGCUGUAAUGUGAAGGUGACUGACUGUACGCUUGAUUCAUCGCUGAUGGAGAGAUACUGUUAUUCCAAGGCUGGAUAAUAAAACACAGAAUGCACAACCUGGAGAUCGUUCAACUCUUUUCUACACACACCGACAAACACAACACUGGGUUCAAAGUGUAGUCAGACUCUCUCUCACAAUUAUUCAGAUCAUCUGAAGACUCUGACAUUCACUUAUUAUUUACCACAUCAACAGCACUUCACACCGAUGAGAUGAUACACUAUAGAUGAAUCACUUUCAUCGUCACAUUCACCACAAGCUGAAGAAGAUCUCACGGCUUCCGUCUUAUAUAAGGUGGUUUGGGACGAAAAUGUCACAGAAUCAAGAAGCAACUGUCAAAAACACUUCAAAGUCUUCUGGUUAACUGUGAGCUAUUUAAAGCAGCGACAUUCAGCGAAUGAGAACGACACCGAGAUGGACAAGUGUGAUUUUCAAGAACAUUUGCAAAAACAAACUUGUUCCAGUGAAGUCAAGAGCACAUUAAAUCUAAUUACUCAGAAAAAAAAAAAA